CCUACGGGUGGCAGCAGUCGAGAAUCAUUCACAAUGGGGGAAACCCUGAUGGUGCGACGCCGCGUGGGGGAAUGAAGGUCUUCGGAUUGUAAACCCCUGUCAUGUGGGAGCAAAGUAAAAAGAUAGUACCACAAGAGGAAGAGACGGCUAACUCUAUGCCAGCAGCCGCGGUAAUACAGAGGUCUCAAGCGUUGUUCGGAAUCACUGGGCGUAAAGCGUGCGUAGGCUGUGUCGUAAGUCGUGUGUGAAAGGUGCGGGCUCAACCCGCGGACGGCACAUGAUACUGCGAGACUUGAGUAAUGGAGGGGGAACCGGAAUUCGCGGUGUAGCAGUGAAAUGCGUAGAUAUCGAGAGGAACACUCGUGGCGAAGGCGGGUUCCUGGACAUUAACUGACGCUGAGGCACGAAGGCCAGGGGAGCGAAAGGGAUUAGAUACCCCAGUAGUC
rnacentral:rRNA from 1 species